rnacentral:rRNA from 1 species
GACGAACGCUGGCAGUGUGUCUUACACAUGCAAGUCGGGCGGAUCUCCUUAAUUGCAGCAAUGCAAUUGGAGAGAUCGAGCGGCAAACGGGUGAGUAAUAGAUAGGUAAUCUACCAUAAUGACUGGGAUACCCCCUUGAAAAAGGGAUCAAUACCAGAUAAUGUCAGUUUAAAUACUUUUAAAUUGAAGAAAGAUGGCCCAAAGCUAUCACAUUAUGAUGAGCCUAUCUCCUAUCAGCUUGUUGGUGAGGUAAUGGCUCACCAAGGCUAUGACGGGUAGCUGGUCUGAGAGGAUGGUCAGCCACACUGGAACUUAGAUACGGUCCAGACUCCUACGGGAGCAGCAGCUAAGAAUAUUCCGCAAUGGACGAAAGUCUGACGGAGCGACGCCGCGUGGAUGAAGAAGGCCGAAAGGUUGUAAAGUUCUUUGCUAGGGAGAAUAAGUGAGGGAGGAAUGCCCUCAUGAUGACAAGGAC